rnacentral:tRNA from 1 species
GCUCUGGUGGUGGAAUUGGUAGACACGCUAUCUUGAGGGGGGAGGGGGUAGUGGCCGCAGGCCGUGCGAGUUCAAGUCUCGCUCAGAGCACCA